rnacentral:rRNA from 1 species
CAGCCGCCGCGGUAAUACGGAGGGUGCAAGCGUUAAUCGGAAUUACUGGGCGUAAAGCGCACGCAGGCGGUUUGUUAAGUCAGAUGUGAAAUCCCCGAGCCUAACUUGGGAACUGCAUUUGAAACUGGCAAGCUAGAGUCUUGUAGAGGGGGGUAGAAUUCCAGGUGUAGCGGUGAAAUGCGUAGAGAUCUGGAGGAAUACCGGUGGCGAAGGCGGCCCCCUGGACAAAGACUGACGCUCAGGUGCGAAAGCGUGGGGAGCAAACAGGAUUAGAUACCCGCGUAGUCCCUGUCUCUUAUAC